GCAGCCUGGGAAAGAACUGAAAAAACUCACUAAAGAGUCAAGACAGAGACACCAGAAAGACCCAAGAAGACUUGGACGCAGCAUCAGAGGACAGAGAGGGAUGUUCAGAACUCACUCAGUCUGGUUAGAAGAGAAUGACUCCUCAACCCAAGAGGUCCUGGAGCAGCUGUGAUCAGGUUAGAAGAGAAUGACUCCUCAACCCAAGAGGCCCUGGAGCAGCUGUGAUCAGGUUAGAAGAGAAUGACUCCUCAACCCAAGAGGCCCCGGAGCAGCUGUGAUCAGGUUAGAAGAGAAUGACUCCUCAACCCAAGAGGCCCUGUAGCAGCUGUGAUCAGGUUAGAAGAGAAUGACUCCUCAACCCAAGAGGCCCUGGAGCAGCUGUGAUCAGGUUAGAAGAGAAUGACUCCUCAACCCAAGAGGCCCUGGAGCAGCUGUGAGAGAGCAGCAGUGUGGAAGCAUUUGGGGAAAUUUAAAGAAGGUUUCCUGGUAAUUAGGAUUGACUGUUAUGUAAAGGGUCAGAGCCACUGAGUGGACAAAAUAUUAAGGAUACCUUCCUAAUAUUGAGUUACGCCUGGUCAGUUUGUCAUGGAAAGAAAAGUGUCCUUAAUGUUUUGUGUAAAUUACAUAAUAAUUAUACAUUUAUGGAUUGUUUUAUGUAGCCUAUUGUUUUCUAUUUAUUCAACCU
rnacentral:lncRNA from 1 species